rnacentral:rRNA from 1 species
UACGUAGGGGGCAAGCGUUGUCCGGAUUUAUUGGGCGUAAAGCGCGUGUAGGCGGCCAUGUAGGUCUGACGUGAAAUUCCGAGGCUCAACCUCGGCAGGUCGUUAGAAACCAUAUGGCUAGAGUCCGGAAGAGGAGAGUGGAAUUCCUGGUGUAGCGGUGAAAUGCGUAGAGAUCAGGAAGAACAUCGGUGGCGAAGGCGCUCUGCUGGACCAUAACUGACACUCAGGGACGAAAGCUAGGGGAGCGAAUGGG